AGUGCAGGCGGGCGAUCAAGUUGGAAGUGAAAUCCAUGGGCUCAACCCAUGAACUGCUUUCAAAACUGGUCGUCUUGAGUAGUGCAGAGGUAGGCGGAAUUCCCGGUGUAGCGGUGGAAUGCGUAGAUAUCGGGAGGAACACCAGUGGCGAAGGCGGCCUACUGGGCACCAACUGACGCUGAGGCUCGAAAGUGUGGGUAGCAAACA
rnacentral:rRNA from 1 species